GAUGAACGCUGGCGGCGUGCUUAACACAUGCAAGUCGAACGGGAUCCACCGGGCUUUGCUUGGUGGUGAGAGUGGCGAACGGGUGAGUAAUGCGUGACCGACCUGCCCCAUACACCGGAAUAGCUCCUGGAAACGGGUGGUAAUGCCGGAUGCUCCAGUUGAUCGCAUGGUCUUCUGGGAAAGCUUUCGCGGUAUGGGAUGGGGUCGCGUCCUAUCAGCUUGACGGCGGGGUAACGGCCCACCGUGGCUUCGACGGGUAGCCGGCCUGAGAGGGCGACCGGCCACAUUGGGACUGAGAUACGGCCCAGACUCCUACGGGAGGCAGCAGUGGGGAAUAUUGCACAAUGGGCGCAAGCCUGAUGCAGCGACGCCGCGUGAGGGGUGGAGGCCUUCGGGUUGUAAACCUCUUUUAUCGGGGAGCAAGCGAGAGUGAGUUACC
rnacentral:rRNA from 1 species